rnacentral:misc_RNA from 1 species
GUAGAUUAGCAGUCCUUAUAAAUAUGCUCUGAUCAAAGGCAAACAUGGCUCAAAUAAUCAUUCAUCUUCUCUGUUGUUGAAAAUCAACAAAAGGGAGUACAAAAAAAUAAUUGAAUUGAUUGAUCGUAGGAAGCAAAGAUGGUUCAAAUAAGGUCAUAUGUUUUGGUAGCUCUCUUUAUUGUGCUGAUUGCAGCUGAAGCCACAAUUGUUCGAGGUGAUGCCAAUGGAAAUGGGAAUGGCAACAAAGGCAAUGACAAUGGGAAUGGUAACAAUGGCAAUGGCAAUGAGGGCCAUGAUGAUGGGAAUGUUAACAACGGCAACAACAACGGUAACGGCGACGAGGGUAAUGACAAUGGCAAUCAAAAUGGUGGCAAUGGUAAAGGUAACGGUGAAAAUGAUGAUUUUGAUGACGUAGAACCUCUACCAACAGGACAGGAAAGAGCUUACUGCAAGGCAAAGGGAGGUUGUCACCAGAAGACCCUUGUGUGUCCGGCUCAGUGCCCACAGAAGAAACCCAAGAAUAACAAGAAGAAGAAGGGAUGCCAUGUUGACUGCAGCAGCAAGUGCGAGGUCACUUGCAAAUGGAGAAAACCCAACUGUAAUGGAUAUGGCUCUCUCUGCUAUGACCCUCGGUUCAUUGGUGGUGAUGGAGUGAUGUUCUACUUCCAUGGAGAAAAGGGAGGUAACUUUGCAAUAGUUUCAGACGAUAACCUUCACAUCAAUGCCCACUUUAUUGGAACUAGACCCCAAGGAAGGACACGAGACUUCACCUGGGUGCAGGCACUCUCUGUCAUGUUUGAUACUCACAAUCUUGUCAUUGCUGCCAAGAAAGUAUCACAAUGGAAUGAUAACAUUGAUGCCCUGACUGUGAGGUGGGACGGCCAGGAAAUCAAUGUCCCUAAUGAUGAAGCAGCCGAGUGGAGAGCCAACAAAGAAGAAAGAGAGGUUAUAGUGGAAAGAACUGAUGAUACUAACAGCGUUAGAGUGAUUGCUGCAGGUCUUGUAGAAAUGGACAUCAAGGUCAGGCCUAUUGGAAAAAGGGAAAAUAUAGUUCACAACUACCAGUUACCUGAUGAUGAUGCUUUUGCUCACCUGGAAACACAAUUCAGGUUCAAGAAAUUGUCGGAUCUUGUCGAAGGAGUUCUGGGAAAGACUUACAGGGCUGAUUAUGUUAGUCCUGUCAAGAUUGGUGUGCCUAUGCCAAUGAUGGGUGGUGAAGACAAGUACCGAACUCCAUCUCUCUUGUCACCUCUUUGCAACGCUUGCAGGUUUCAGGGUAAAUCAGCUCCAGGGAUUGCUACAAUCUAAUCAUGCAUUUUAAUAUAUCUACAUUCUAAACUUAAAAAAAAAAAGAGCAAAUAAAUAAAUAAGCUAAUAAAACAAUAUCAUUCUUUGUGUUUGGAAACAAAUCAGGCAUGUAACGCUUGUAUCAAGAUACUUUUAUUUUGGUUGUUCAAAAGGGUUCAUAUUUCAUAUAUAAUCAUUCAAUACAAC